rnacentral:sRNA from 1 species
GUUUUGUCAGUUGCCUAGGCUUGGUCUUGAAUUCCUGGGCUCAAGCUAUCUGCCCACCUUGACCUCCCAAAGUGCUGGGAUUGACGGCAGUGGGCAGCAGUCAGUGACAGGUGUAACCUCUGUGGAUGACAGCAACAGUUACUGGAGGAUACGGGGGAAGACUGCCACAGUGUGUGAGAGGGGAACCCCCAUCAAGUGUGGCCAGCCCAUCCGGCUGACACAUGUCAACACUGGCCGAAACCUCCAUAGUCACCACUUCACUUCACCUCUUUCUGGAAACCAGAGGAGAAAACAAAGGCUCAAAGGAUUUACAGAAGAAGGGAUCGAGUUGAGAUUCAAGGAAGUGAGUGCUUUUGGUGAGGAAGGUGAAGGUGAUUAUCUGGAUGACUGGACAGUACUCUGUAAUGGACCCUACUGGGUGAGAGAUGGUGAGGUGCGGUUCAAACACUCUUCCACUGAGGUACUGCUGUCUGUCACAGGAGAACAAUAUGGUCGACCUAUCAGUGGGCAAAAAGAGGUGCAUGGCAUGGCCCAGCCAAGUCAGAACAACUACUGGAAAGCCAUGGAAGGCAUCUUCAUGAAGCCCAGUGAGUUGUUGAAGGCAGAAGCCCACCAUGCAGAGCUAUGAAUCUAGAGGCUCUGAGCCACUGUUAAUGCACAAUGUUCACAGACGUCUGUUGCUGCCUCACCUUGGGAUCCCUGUCACAAGUUCCUUGGGCAGUGGCCGUGUUACCAUUGAGAUGAAGAUAUACAACAGAAAAUAGUGGCUGUGUUU